rnacentral:rRNA from 1 species
GCUUAACGCGAAGAACCUUACCAGGCCUUGACAUGCACUAGACCGACUCUGAAAGGAGUCUUCCCUUCGGGGCUGGUGCACAGGUGCUGCAUGGCUGUCGUCAGCUCGUGUCGUGAGAUGUUGCAUUAAGUCGCGCAACGAGCGCAACCCCUGUCCUUAGUUGCCAUCAGGUAAAGCUGGGCACUCUAGGGAGACAAACCCUCUCUGAGGGUGGGAAGGUGGGGAUGACGUCAAGUCAGGAUGGCCCUUACGGCCUGGGCUGCACACGUGCUACAAUGCUCGGUACAGAGGGACGCAAGACCGCGAGGUGGAGCAAAUCCCAAAAACCGAGCCCAGUUCAGAUUGCAGUCU